AUCCAGGGAACCACCUGCUGGGUUGCAGGCUGGGGCAACACCACAGGUGAGCAGCCUCUUAAGGAAGUGCAGACAUCAGUGGUUGCCUGUGGCAACGCAUCCUCCUCUGCUGAUGACAUCUGCACCAACACUGUUCAGAUAGAACAGGGUGAUAUGGGAGGUCCUCUCAUGUGUAAACAGGGGAGUUUAUGGUUCCAGCUUUCAGUGGUCACCAUCACCUCCUCUUCAUCCAACUCCACCUCAUCCAACUCCACCUCCUCGUCCAACUCCACCUCCAGAGACCUCGGCCAAUCAGAUCGCGCCUCAGUGCAGGUGUUUAGCCGGACAUCUCGUUUCAGAAGCUUCCUGUCGAGUUUCUCCUUCCCCUCGACCACCACAGCGUCCAGUGGGGGGCGCCACUCCUGCAUGGCCCUCUCCCUCCUCUCCCUCCUCCUCCUCGCACUCACCCCUCUGCUGGCCUCCCAGCACUAGCCUUCAGGUCAAAGGUCACGAAUACCCACAAUCCACUGCUGCACCUAGCCCUACACACCACUUGGUUUAAAACAACAACAACAUUUACAUGCAGGCCAUGCUGCUAUCAGGGAUCAACGUUGUGAAGGAAGCACUGUCAGCUCAUUGAAGUAACUGGACAUGAGCUUUGUACGUGACUGGCUAUCUGCACUACAAGUGACCGCAGGUCCUCUGGUUUGAUGUUAGCACUUUAAACCAAUAGUUGUUAUUUAUUGCAAUGAAAAUGUUCAAUUUUAUGUGGCAGUUUUAGAUGAAAAGUCCAUUUUUGUCUGUGACGUUGACUGUGACUGUGAUGUUUUGUAUGUAAGCGAGGCAGGCCUUUAACUAGUUAGUUAGUUAGUUUAUUAGUUAGUUAGUUAGUUAGUUUAUUAGUUGCAGCCCUUUGCUAUAGUUAGUUUAUUAGUUGCAGCCCUUUGCUAUAGUUAGUUAGUUAGUUUAUUGGAUGCAGCCCUUUGCUAUAGUUAGUUAGUUUAUUAGUUAGUUUAUUAGUUGCGGCCCUUUACUAUAGUUAGUUAGCUCGUUUAUUAGUUGUCCCCUUAGGGAAAUUCUUUUCCACAUUUUCCUAUUUCAGACAUAUUUCAGACACCUCAGACAUUUGACACAGACAUGUUCAUACAUCAUUGGGGUUCAUGGGGAACAUACAAUAUUGCACUGCACACAUUAUCUGUGGGGCUUUGUCUCGUUGAGUAUUGGGAUGGCUGAGGGGAUUAGGCUUCUGCUGAAGUAGCCUUUAUUGCAUCUUAUGCUUCUAAGUAUAUAUACUCUUUUGAUCCUGUGAGGGAAAUUCCAUACCUCCUGCCAGAGGGUAGGGGUGAGAAGUAACGGUUUAGUGGGUGAGUAAUGUCCAGGGAUAUUACAUGAGCGAUACGUGUGAUGGCCCUGGUGUUUAGUUCUUGUAAAUUCGGGGUGUGGAGACCUAUUGUUUUGGUGGCAGUAUUGGUUAUCUGGGUGAGUUUGUUAUGCGUUUUUACAGUAAGCAUGUUGAAGAAGCAGGUGGAACAGUAUGACAGGAUGGGUUGGACAAUGCUGGUAUACAAUAUAACAGGAUGGGUUGGACAAUGCUGUUAUACAAUAUAACAGAAUGGGUUGGACAAUGCUGGUAUACAGUAGUAGGAGUAGAUGGGGGCAACAUGAAGUCCUUUUAGUUUGCGCACUGCUGACAGUCUCUGGUUUCCUUUUUUUUGGAUGUUGUGUGAUGUUCAAAGGUGAGGUUAUUGUCAAUUGUGAGUCCAAGGUAUUUGAAAUGGUCUACGAUAUCUACUGUUUCCUUGUUAAUGAUGAUGGGGUGGUGGGAUUGUGCAUUUCCAAAAAACAUUUCUUUUGUUUUUCUGAUGUUGAGUUUGAGAUAGUUAUCUCCACACCAUUGAGUAUCUACACUUGCACGAGACUGCAUGGUCAGGCUCCUUCCUUUCUUCUUGUUUACGUAGCAAAUUAUUGUUGUUUUGUGUUGCUGUUAAACAUAUCCCAUGAUGUAUAUACAUCAUACAUAUCUAAUAGUAAGGGCUAAUGGUUUAUACUUGAUAGAAAACACAACGAUACAUGGGUUUACAUGGAUACGUUUGGCUCAAUCGGAAUAUAAAUGACACAUAUUAACACCUCGAUCAGAAUAUAAAUGACAUAUUAACACCUUGAUCGGAAUAUAAAUGACACAUAUAAACACCUUGAUCGGAAUAAAACUGCUGAUCCGAUUAGAAUUUUAAUCAGAAUGAAAGAGGUGGUGAACUCCGUUUUUAUUCCGAUUGAACAGCCGUGUAUACGGCCAAUCAGAUUGAACAGCCAUACGGCCAAUCAGAUGGCCCGCUGUAUCUUCUCCAGCCAAAGCAAAGCAGCGACGGCUAUUCCUAUCAAACGUUCUAGAGCGCUUGAGAGCACCUGAUCAUAAUCUAACGUACCCCAUGUAAAAGGAUGACACCAAAUUUUAUUUGGAAGAGUUUGGAUCAGAAUGACAAAAAAACUGAUCGGAACAACAAAAAAAAUGAUCGUAACAACAAAAAACCCUAUCGUCUCUCUUCUUAAGCCACAGCACAGGACUGCAGGGUCAGGUCCACCAGCAAAAUAGUGUUGUUGUGUGUUUCUGUUGAACAUAUCCCAUGAUAUCAUAAACACUUACAUCAUACAUAUCUACUGGUAAUGGUUUUGUGAUUUUAUUUAAAAAGCAAUUAAACAUAUUUUACUGCU